rnacentral:rRNA from 1 species
GACGAACGCUGGCGGCGUGCCUAAUACAUGCAAGUCGAACGAAGCUGUUUUAACUGGUGCUUGCACCGACUUAAACAACUGAGUGGCGAACGGGUGAGUAACACGUGGGUAACCUGCCCCAAAGCGGGGGAUAACAUUUGGAAACAGAUGCUAAUACCGCAUAACCACAGAAACCACAUGGUUUCUGUGUCAGAGAUGGUUUCGGCUAUCACUUUGGGAUGGACCCGCGGCGUAUUAGCUAGUUGGUAAGGUAAUGGCCUACCAAGGCAAUGAUACGUAGCCGAACUGAGAGGUUGAUCGGCCCCAUUGGGACCGAGACACGGACCAAACUCCUACGGGAGGCAGCAGUAGGGAAUCUUCCACAAUGGACGAAAGUCUGAUGGAGCAACGCCGCGUGAGUGAAGAAGGUUUUCGGAUCGUAAAACUCUGUUGUCAGAGAAGAACGUGUGCGAGAGUAACUGUUCGUGCAGUGACGGUAUCUGGCCAGAAAGCCACGGCUAACUACGUGCCAGCCGCCGCAGUAA